CAUUGAAAUACUACCCGUCGGUGACUGCGACUCUCACUCCGGGAGGAGUACACCGGUAGCCGGGCAGUUUGACUGGGGCGGUACGCGCUCGAAAAGAUAUCGAGCGCGCCCGAAGAUCAUCUCAGCCGGGUCGGGAAUCCGGCGAAGAGCGCAAGAGCACAAGAUGGUCUGACAGUGUCAUUCCCAACGAGUGACGCUGACGCGAAAGCGUGGUCUAGCGAACCUACGAGGCUCCGGAAUGGGGCCCGUAGAUGACAGAAAAGCUACCUUAGGGAUAACAGAGUCGUCACCCGCAAGAGCACAUAUCGACCGGGNGAGGUUGUUCGCCUAUUAAAGGAGGUCGUGAGCUGGGUUUAGACCGUCGUGAGACAGGUCGGCUGCUAUCUAUUGGGGGUGUCAAGGUACUUGACGUGAACGAACGUAUAGUACGAGAGGAACUACGUUUGGUCGCCACUGGUGUACCGGUUGUGUGAGAACGCAAUGCCGGGUAGCCACGCGACACGGGGUAAGAGCUGAACGCAUCUAAGCUCGAAACCCACAUGGAAAAGAAGUACCGAUGAGGUCACUCGUAGAAGACGAGUUCGAUAGACUCGGGAUGUACGCACCGAGGCAACGAGGUGUUGAGUCCACGAGCACUAACAGACCGAAGCCA
rnacentral:rRNA from 1 species